rnacentral:rRNA from 1 species
UACGUAGGGGGCAAGCGUUGUCCGGAUUUAUUGGGCGUAAAGGGCUCGUAGGCGGCCAACUAAGUCAGACGUGAAAUCCCUCAGCUUAACUGGGGAACUGCGUCUGAUACUGGAUGGCUUGGAUUCGGGAGAGGAAUGCGGAAUUCCAGGUGUAGCGGUGAAAUGCGUAGAUAUCUGGAGGAACACCGGUGGCGAAGGCGGCAUUCUGGACCGACAUUGACGCUGAGGAGCGAAAGCCAGGGGAGCAAACGGG